rnacentral:tRNA from 1 species
GUUUUAGUAGUUUAAUAAAAACAUUGGUUUUGUAAACCAAAAAUAAGUUAAUCUUUUAAAACU